rnacentral:rRNA from 1 species
UAACAACCUGGAAACAGAUGCUAAUACCGGAUAACAACAGAUGAUGCCUAUCAACUGUUUAAAGGAUGGUUCUGCUAUCACUCUUGGAUGGACCUGCGGUGCAUUAGCUAGUUGGUAGGGUAACGGCCUACCAAGGCGAUGAUGCAUAGCCGAGUUGAGAGACUGAUCGGCCACAUUGGGACUGAGACACGGCCCAAACUCCUACGGGAGGAGCAGUG